ACCCGUCUAGCUCAGUUGGUAGAGCGCUGGCCUUUUAAGCCAGUGGUCGUGGGUUCGAGCCCCAC
rnacentral:tRNA from 1 species